rnacentral:rRNA from 1 species
GAUGAACGCUGGCGGCGUGCCUAAUACAUGCAAGUCGAGCGAACAGACGAGGAGCUUGCUCCUCUGACGUUAGCGGCGGACGGGUGAGUAACACGUGGAUAACCUACCUAUAAGACUGGGAUAACUUCGGGAAACCGGAGCUAAUCCCGGAUAAUAUAUUGAACCGCAUGGUUCAAUAGUGAAAGACGGUUUUGCUGUCACUUAUAGAUGGAUCCGCGCCGCAUUAGCUAGUUGGUAAGGUAACGGCUUACCAAGGCAACGAUGCGUAGCCGACCUGAGAGGGUGAUCGGCCGCACUGGAACUGAGACACGGUCCAGACUCCUACGGGAGGCAGCAGUAGGGAAUCUGCCGCAAUGGGCGAAAGCCUGACGGAGCAACGCCGCGUGAGUGAUGAAGGUCUUCGGAGCGUAAAACUCUGUUAUUAGGGAAGAACAAAUGUGUAAGUAACUAUGCACGUCUUGACGGUACCUAAUCAGAAAGCCACGGCUAACUACGUG